GACGAACGCUGGCGGCGUGCUUAACACAUGCAAGUCGAACGGAAAGGCCCUGCUUUUGUGGGGUGCUCGAGUGGCGAACGGGUGAGUAACACGUGAGUAACCUGCCCUUGACUUUGCGAUAACUUCAGGAAACUGGGGCUAAUACCGGAUAGGAGCUCCAGCUGCAUGGUGGGGGUUGGAAAGUUUCGGCGGUUGGGGAUGGACUCGCGGCUUAUCAGCUUGUUGGUGGGGUAGUGGCUUACCAAGGCUUUGACGGGUAGCCGGCCUGAGAGGGUGACCGGCCACAUUGGGACUGAGAUACGGCCCAGACUCCUACGGGAGGCAGCAGUGGGGAAUAUUGCACAAUGGGCGGAAGCCUGAUGCAGCAACGCCGCGUGCGGGAUGACGGCCUUCGGGUUGUAAACCGCUUUCGCCUGUGACGAAGCGUGAGUGACGGUAAUGGGUAAAGAAGCACCGGCUAACUACGUG
rnacentral:rRNA from 1 species